CAAACUUUUCCACAUUUCCAGGAUCUUGCGUCUGAGCCCUGGAGGUCCUGCGUGCUGACUGUGAAGAGGCAGGAAGGGCAUGGCCUGUGGGGUCCUCACCCUUUGGUCGUCAAGCAACUCUUCAGUGAGUUCAGGGCAGGACACAGGGGUUGGGGCGCCGCCUCACUGAGCCGCAGAGGAAAAGUUUACAAAUGGGAAAUCCACAACAUUGGUCAAGAAGAAAAGGCACCAUGAAUGGGAAGACCGAAGUGCAGACAACCAGCUGGAACAAGGGUGAAAAUAUAGGAGAUUACGAUCCAUUCCUGGGUGGACGGCCAGCGUUCCAUCUUCACUAACACGAUAUAGUUGAAGAGCAUCAGGUAUCCGAUAUACGCCAGCUGUAAGGAGACACAAUACAGUGCUCUGGCUGUUCAGGCCCAGGAGCCCCAGCAUCAGCCAAGGCCACUGCACAGCAGCACAGAGCAGGGUCAGCAAGCAGGACACAGACUUUAUGACAAAAGGAACUUGAAGGUGCUAAACUAACAAAAGAAUUAGAAAAGACAGUAAUACUUGAAGGAUUAUAAUAUGCAAUCUUCCUUUUGACCUGUACAUGUAUCUCUGGGGCUCUGGUGCUUCGUUUAAAUCUAUGUGUCAUGAUGCAUCAUUUCGCCUUGCAGUUACCCAUUUUUGUGUGUUUUCUUGGCUAAAAAGGGAGCCUUGGCUGUCAGUGGCGGCUCUUGCUCAGGCGUGGACCUUAGGUUCUUAAACUAGGGCAGCACAGUGGAUUUUUGCCUCACGAAUGCCAGGCAGAAUAAGUGUCUGUGAGAAGCAAAGGAAGAGGAAGACACAUGUAACACCUGUAAAUUGGUCAAACCAACAUAAAAAUAGCCCAGGCUUAAAGUGCUUCGCUUGUCAGUGCCCUGGGAGGGUCUUACCUGUUUUCAUUUCACCACUUUCCUGUCCUAAUCAAGUUAAGAUAAGAUAUUCCUUCCUGGUGUCUGCUUCAUUGAAACAACACAAGAAAAGACAACACAGUUUACAGAAAGGAAAGGGUCCGUGUGGCCUUUUGUGGACGGGUGUGGGGUUUAAUCCCCAAGAGGCUCUGGCUCGUGGGGUUGAAUCCUGAUGUGACUGGCUGAAUUGCUGGAUGUCUGGGAAGAACUCCCUAGGGUUUGGUGACUGCUCCUGGAAGAUUCAGUUGUGUCAAGGUGAGUGAAGUGCAGGGAAACUGGUGGCUCUUGCAUAAGGGGCUGAGGAGCCUUGAGAGAAGACUCACUCACCUUAAGGGAAAUGGCAGACUAGCUGGGCCUUCCUUACACAAUGCCUCAAGUCAAGUGAGGUACUCACUGGCCUUAGGGGCCUCAGGGGCUGUGAGCAGGAACCAAGAGGGAGUUUAUUAACUAAAAUCUGCUGCACUCUUCAGAGUGGUGUAGCAAAGAAUAGACACAGUGUGGGUGAAAGGAUUGAGGCCUUGAGGGGUCUGGAGGUACUGCAUGACUUUGUAGCUGGGAAGGCAGCUUAGAAGGUGGAGGAAGCUGCAGCCUUGCUGGGGGAUAUGCUGCUUUCUCUACUAAUUCUCUUAUGUUUUGGGACAGGGUCUCACUCUCGUCACCCAGGCUGGAGUGCAGUGGCAUUGUGAUCUCGGCUCAUUGUAGCAUUGACUUCCUGGGCUCAGGUAAUUCUCCUACUUCAGCCUCCUGGGUAGCUGGGAUAACAGGCACGUGCCACCACACCCAGCUAAGUUUUUGUAUUUUUAGUGGAGACAGCAUCUCACUUUGUUGGCCAGGCUGAUCUCAAACUCCUGGGCUCAAGAGAUCCUCCUAUCUAUCUUGGCCUCCCAAAAUGCUGGGAUUAUAGGCAUGAGCCACCAUGCUCAGCUGAAUGGAUUCUUCUUUUUUUUUGGAGACUGAGUCUCACUCUAUUGCCCAGGCUGGAGUGCAGUGGUGCGAUCUCGGCUUUCUGCAAACCUCUUCCUGGGUUCAAGCGAUUCUCGUGCCUCAGCCUCCGGAGUAGCUGGGAUUACAGGCACCCAUUACCACGUCUGGCUAAUUUUUGUAUUUUUAGUAGAGACUGAGGUUUCAUCAUGUUGGCCAGGCUGGUCUUGAAUUCCUGACCUCAAGUGAUCUGCCCGCCUCGGCCUCCUAAAGUGCUGGGAUUACAGGUGUGAGCCACUGCGCCUCGCCUAAAUAGAGUCUUAAUAUGACUCCAAGGUAUCUCUGAGACCCCAUCACACUGACACAUUUGCAGACACAACUGUUGCACAAAAGUCCCUCAUCUCUUAAAGGGUGAAGUAUGUCGGAGUUAAAUAAGAUCACUUAUGAGAGCUGGAUAUCUGGGCUCACUCUCUACAUGCAUGGUUUGUGCUGGCACACCCCCACCCCCACCCCCAGGGGCCUAUCAUUUCAACCUAUGCCUAAGUUCCUACCCCUCCCCAUCUUCAGGAGCAUUGGCAAAUCAUGAAAACUUCUCAUGAAGGAGUUUACUUAAAAUUGUGUAGGACGCUGUUUAAAAAUCAGUUCAAAAUGGAACUUGGUUCAUAUGGUUUCCGUUUACCAUUAUUAUACACUGGCAUUAAUUCUGUAGUCCUGUGAGUACAGACUGCAAAAAACAAAAAAAGGACUUUAGUGGUUAAAACUCUAAAAUAUACUCUCAGCCUCCUUCUGACUUGAACUCUUUCCCUCUCCUUGUUGCUUCCUUCUCUUAGUUGGGUCAAAUUCCAUCACUUGUAGGUGAAAUGAAUAUUGUUAACUGCCCUGGUUUUAUCAUUUUGCCCAAAUGAUUGCAAAACAUUCCAAAGCAUUAUCUUCUCUUGUCAUAUGUAGGCCUAGUGACAUGCACAUUCUUCCAGAACCUCUGCAUUUUAAUACUUAAGUAACUCCUUAAACCUAUUUUAAUGCUUAAGUAACUCCUUGAACCUACAUCUGUCCUCUGAAUACAAGUCUAAUGUGUUCAGUGGAAGGAAGGUAGGCAUAGAUAUCAGUGAAGCUUGGAUUUAAAUCUCAGCUCACAUACUUCCUAGCUGUAUCACCUUUUGUAAUGUUAACCUGCCUGGGCCUCCAUUCUGUAACAUGGGAUCACUUCCACUUUCCUUAUAGGGCCUUUAUAAUGACUGGGGAUCUAUAUAUCUAUCUAUCUGUCUGUCUGUAUCUCCCAACACACUGUAGAGGCCCAAUAAAUGCUGGCUGAUAUUAUUCUGUUAUUCUUUUUGUCUCCUCUUCCCUUAGUCCUUACUUCCCUUUGAUCCCCAAUUAACUGUUCACACCUCUCUUCUUUUUUUUUAAAUUGCCCUCAUUAUUGGUUAUGUUUCCUCCACUUUCAUCAUUUUUAGCCCCUGCCUGUUUUUUACAUCACAGUUAUUCUAUAAUGAACUUUUCCCAUAGUCAAGCUAUAAUAUAAUAUUUUGGGACAACUCUCAAAAUACAGACUUCUGAAAAUAGGGUCUUAUGUUUAGAUGGCAUAACAGAGGACUGGCUGCUGUCCUGGAAGCAGCCUAUCAUAGAACUCACCAACAUUCAUGCAGCCUUGCUGUAGAUUAUCUUGACAUGACAUGCUUUAAUUGUGUGUGUGUGUGUGUGUGUGUAUAUAUAUAUAUAUAUGUAUACUCUGUAAGGUUUAGCAACCUGUAUGUAGAAUUUCCAAGCUUUUGAACCUGUGAGUCUUAUUUAAGUAAGUCAGUAGGAGAACUCUAAGAAUUUGUAUUUUAUUAACAUAUAUUCUUUCUAUGCAUUUUCCAUUAACUAAGAUUCAUGCUUCUUAAACUAACUAUCAAACACAAGCACUAAAGCCUGACACAGUUUGCUAUGGAUCCCUGGUGGGGCUUUGCUCUUCCUCACUUCUUCCUGGGCCUUUUUCUACUACCUCUGGAGAGCAGAGGGGCACAUGGUCUUGUAGAGGAUAGAGUUGGUCACUACUAGAGAAACUCAGAGCACACACUGUGUCCUCUGACCUGCAGCCACUUCACACCUUGAAUUUGAAUCCUCUCCAGAUGGAUACCUGAAAUAGGCUCUCAAAACAAGCAGGGUCUAGGAGCCAGUUGGACCCCUGCCUCCUUUCUUCUUGGACCAGAAGAGGACCCAAUCUGCUCCUAGAGAAACUUGCUACGAUGCAGAAGUGAGGUUAUAUGGAAAUGAAGUGUGUCCUACCUUUCAGAAACUUGGGAGAGUAGGAGAGACCAUUUUUGAAAAUCUGGUGAGAAAUACUCUUACAGAGAAAAACACAGCCCAAAGCACAUGGGACCUUCAAUCUGAAAUUGAAUUGUACUGUUAAGCAUGUCUGGUGAUUCAAAAGACUGGCAUACCUUAUUUCCAGUCACUUCCUCGAGGCCUGGGCUUUGUCAAUAUGUGAAGAUGAAUUUUGGAGAAUCAUGUAAACACAAUUGAACAGAUCUGGGGGAUCCAGUCUGAUGGGUUUGCUGAGGCCAAUCCAGUCAGCCACGCAGAAGUGUGCUGGACACACAGGCCCCACCACCCCCCGCCAAAGAGGCAGCCUCCCAACAAGCUGCCAAUGACAUAAGCAAAGCAGCGUGUCUCAAGUGUCUCCAAUCAUAAGAUUCGCCUGGGAAGCUGGUUAAACUAACACAGCCUCUUAGGCUCCUUCCUGAAGACUGGAUUCCAUGGGUCUAUGAUGGGGCUAGAAAUUUGCAUUUCUAACAAAACUCCCUUGUCAUCAUGGACGUUUUAGAGAUAUUGAUACUAUUAUUUCUACUGAUUUCUGCUCUCGGGAGUCUGUAAACUUUUUCUGCAAAUGGCCAACUGGUUAACUUUUAAGGCUUUGUAGAACCGAUAGUCUCUCUCUGUCUCUCACUACUCAUCAACUUGAUGUGGUAGCACAAAAGCAGUCAGUCAGCCUAUUGCUAAUGGUAAAUGAGAUUUAGCCUAAAGCUGCCUCCUUAAGUUCGGCCUGAAGUUUUCUCUGUACAUUGUGAACUAUAACAAAUGAAGGUGUAACAAGACCAAUCACCGAGUUUCGGUCAAUCAAAUGUAGCCAACUGCUCAAACUGUGUUCAAAUAAGGCAAACGCUGAGCUGUAACCAAUCCAGCUGUUUCUGUACCUCACUUCCGUUUUCUGUAUGCCACUUCCCUUUUUCUGUCCAUAAAUCUUCCACCACGUGGCCCUGCCAGAGUCUCUGAGCCUACUCUGGCUUGGAAGACUGCCCAAUUCACGAAUCGUUCAUUUGCUCAAUUAAACUCCUUUAAAUUUAUUCGGCUCAAGUUUUUCUUUUAACAGAAAUCAAGAGUCUGCCUGUGUUCCAAUUAUUUAUGGACACUAAAAUUUGAAUAUGUGUUUCAAGUAUUCCUUUUCAAAUUUUAUUAAAAAUGUAAAAACCAUUCUCAGUUCGCAGGCCACAAUCACAGGCCAUGGGUUGAAUUUGGCUCAAAAGCUGUAGUUUGCCAAGCCCUGUUCUAAGCUAACAGUUGGGGAAUCAUAAUAUAAAAGGAAGGACAGACCUGGGUGUGAAAUAGCUGCAAAAAUAUUAUCUCGGGCUGGGCGCAGUGGUUAUUGCCUGUAAUCCCAGCACUUUGGUAGGCUGAGGCAGGCCCAUAGCUUGAGGCCAGCAGUUCAAGACCAGCCUGGCCAACGUGGCAAAACCCCAUCUCUACUAAAAAUACAAAAAUUAAUUAGCCAGGUGUGGUGGUGAACACCUGUAAUCCCAGCUACUCGGGAGGCUGAGACAUGAGACUCACUUGAAUCCAGGAGAUGGAGGUUGCAGUGAGCCAAGAUUGUACCACUGCACUCCAGCCUAGGUGACAGAGUAAGAGUUUGUCUCCUAAAUAAAUAAAUAUUAUCUUGAUAAAAUAGUUGUUAGGAUUACAAAGAGUACUUAAAUAAUAGUACCUAGAACAUUGCCUCAAACUUAGUAGGUGCUCAAUAAAAGAAAGAUAUUAUUUUUGUUGAGUGGAUGUAUGAACACAACACUGAUUAUCUAUUGCUGGGCAACGUGAAUAGCCUAGAAGAAACAAUAGUCACAGUUACAUUGUACUUAUAUGUCAAGGAACUGUUCUAAGUGCUUUACAUGUUUUAACACAUUUAAUCUUGAUUAAAUCCUAUAAAAUCGGAACUACUAUUAUUGGCAUCUUAAGAAAACUGUGGACAGAAGGGGAAAUUAAGUUGUUUGAGGGCACAUGGUAAGAGGUGCAGAUGGGAUUCCCACCCAGGCUGUCUGAUUCCAAAGUCCAUGCUUGUCACCACUAAGCUGUUUUCUGCAAGGUUAAAAAUAAUAUAGAGC
rnacentral:lncRNA from 10 species